AGAACGAACGCUGCCGGCAUGCUUAACACAUGCAAGUCGCACGGGCAGGGGCAACUCUGUCAGUGGCGGACGGGUGAGUAACGCGUAGGUAUCUAUCCUCGGGUGGGAGACAACCACGGGAACCUGUGGCUAAUACCGCAUGAUGACUGAGGUCCAAAGCCGCAAGGCGCUUCGGGAGGGGCCUGCGUCCGAUUAGCUCGUUGGUGGGGUAAUGGCUCACCAAGGCGACGAUCGGUAGGUGGUGUGAGAGGACGAUUACCCAGACUGGGACUGAGACACGGCCCAGACUCCUACGGGAGGCAGCAGUCGGGAAUUUUGCUCAAUGGGCGCAAGCCUGAAGCAGCAACGCCGCGUGGGGGAUGACGGCCUUCGGGUUGUAAACCUCUUUUCCCGGGGACGAUAAUGACGGUACUCGGGGAAUAAGUCACGGCUAACUACGUGCCAGCAGCCGCGGUAAUACGUAGGUGACGAGCGUUGUCCGGAUUUACUGGGCGUAAAGAGCGCGCAGGCGGUCGUACAAGUCGAGUGUGAAAUCCCCCGGCUCAACUGGGGAACGU
rnacentral:rRNA from 1 species